rnacentral:rRNA from 1 species
AUUGAACGCUGGCGGCAUGCUUUACACAUGCAAGUCGAACGGCAGCGCGGGGGCAACCUGGCGGGCGAGUGGCGAACGGGGUGAGUAAAUAUAUCGGAACGUACCCAGAAGUGGGGGAUAACGUAGCGAAAGUUACGCUAAUACCGCAUACGAUCUACGGAUGAAAGUGGGGGACCUUCGGGCCCCAUGCUUUUGGAGCGGCCGGUAUCUGAUUAGCUAGUUGGUGAGGUAAAGGCUCACCAAGGCGACGAUCAGUAGCUGGUCUGAGAGGACGACCAGCCACACUGGGACUGAGACACGGCCCA